UCAGUCGGCCGGACGGCCGCUCCUGCUACGGCCGAAAGGCUGCGGGAGAGGAAAGUCCGGGCUCCAUCGACAUACGGUGCCGGAUAACAUCCGGCGGGGGCGACCCCAGGGACAGUGCCACAGAGAACGAACCGCUUCUUCUCCGGAAGAAGUAAGGGUGAAAAGGUGCGGUAAGAGCGCACCGCGGGUCCGGCAACGGAAACGGCAUGGCAAACCACACCGGGAGCAAGACCGAAUAGGGACGGCAACGCGGGCUGUGCGCGCAAGCGUUAAACCGCAGGGCGAUGUCAGGCUCGCCGUCCGGGUAGGUUGCUCGAGGCCGUGUGCGAACAUGGUCCCAGAGGAAUGGCCGUCACGUAUCGGCGCAUGCAAAUGCGGCGGUGCCCUACAAAACCCGGCUUACAGGCCGGCUGAUGCU
rnacentral:RNase_P_RNA from 1 species